rnacentral:rRNA from 1 species
AUUGAACGCUGGCGGCAGGCCUAACACAUGCAAGUCGAGCGGAUGAAGGGAGCUUGCUCCUGGAUUCAGCGGCGGACGGGUGAGUAAUGCCUAGGAAUCUGCCUGGUAGUGGGGGAUAACGUCCGGAAACGGGCGCUAAUACCGCAUACGCCCUGAGGGAGAAAGUGGGGGAUCUUCGGACCUCACGCUAUCAGAUGAGCCUAGGUCGGAUUAGCUAGUUGGUGGGGUAAAGGCCUACCAAGGCGACGAUCCGUAACUGGUCUGAGAGGAUGAUCAGUCACACUGGAACUGAGACACGGUCCAGACUCCUACGGGAGGCAGCAGUGGGGAAUAUUGGACAAUGGGCGAAAGCCUGAUCCAGCCAUGCCGCGUGUGCGAAGAAGGUCUUCGGAUUGUAAAGCACUUUAAGUUGGGAGGAAGGGCAGUAAGUUAAUACCUUGCUGUUUUGACGUUACCAACAGAAUAAGCACCGGCUAACUUCGU